ensembl:lncRNA
GAAUAAAGCACCAUCUCCAUCCCAUUUGUUCAAGAAAGUGUUAUUUUUGCAUUUAUUAUAGUUUUAAUAAUAUCUUGAAUAAACUUUUAUUUUCAGAUUUUUAUUUUUUUGUCAUUUAUAAUUACAGUUUAGUAAUUUUGCUAUGUGCCAUUCCCAUUUUAUUAGAUUUCUUUUUUAAAUUAUUUAUUUAUUAUAUUUCAGUUUCAUGUAGUUUUAGUUUUUUAUUUAUUUCCAGUUAAUAAUUUGAAUGCUUUUUCUUAAACUUUUUUUAUUGCCAAGGCAACAUUUUUAUUUUUAUUUUGUGUAAGUUUUUCAAUUAAUAUUAAUAUUUUAUUUUAGCAUUUUUUUUUUUAUUAACAGAAAUGUUUUUAAUAGUUUUCUGUUUUCAAUUUUCAUUAAUGAUAAUAGCCUAACCCUAGUUGAAGAGAAUAAAAUUGGCACAAAACAGAUGUAUCAGGAAUAGCAUUAGGGGAAGCCACUUUUUCAUGCAUCAUAAAUAUCUUGUGGCUCUGAGAGUGUGCAGAUGAAAUGCAAUAAACUCUGUCAUAUUUAUACCAAAUAAUUUUGAUGACAACCAACAUCUGAGAUGCUGUGUGAUGCGAUUGGUCCGCUGGUUAGUCCAGUUAUCCAAUCACAUCCUCCGUUGCACAUCAAGGGAUUUAUUCAGUAAAUGUGUUUUCAUUGUAGCUUGUGCGCAUGUCGUCUUGUCAGAUAAAAUGCAUUUUUUUAGAAGAAUUUAUGCACAACUUGGCGCUUCCAUCCAACAUGUGAUAAACUCAGAUUCAUAUAGGCUUAAACAGGUGUAUGGAAAAAAAGCUAUUCUCAAAGUAACAAGCAUUCCCAUGAAUACAAAAAAAUACAUGUUUUAGAUAGACUAACUGCUUUUUUUGGUAUUUACUUUUCAGUACCUUCAACUGUCAGAAACGUAAGAUCAGCAGACAAUGACAGCACAGUCAUAAUGGCCUUUUGGGAUCCUCCUACUGACAGCAGCAUUACAGCAAACAACGACAUUACAAACUCAGGCAACAGUGAUACAACAAAAUUCAGUAAUACAGACUGUAAAACAGUGGAUGAAAAAGAAACAUUUAUCAAACAGAUUAAUAGAUCAGACGGCAGCAUGUUUUGUGUGUGUGUGGCAGCGCUAACAAAGAACAACACUCUGUCAGGAGAAAUGGUUGGAAUCCCAGCAUACACACGUGAGUCUCAUGUUCAGUUAUUGCAUUCUUUCCCUAAUUAAAGGCAUUUCAUAUAUCAUGCAUGUACAGUAAAUUCUAAUUGAACAUUUCCAUCACUAAGCUGUAAGCUUAGCGCAUUAGAUAAAGCUGAAUGUGAGUUGACAGUCAAACAAUUUUGGAAGAUUUUUUCCAUAAUGGAAUACAAAAUAAGUAGCAUUUCCUAAGUUCUGACAAACUCAUGCUCUCUCCUCUCCUCUCCUCUCCUCUCCUCUCCUCUCUCUCUCUCUCUCUCUCUCCUUUGCGUGUUUACUAUUGUCAUUUUGCAUUAUUAACACACUAGUUUCCUAUUUAAUACUGUAAAAUUGCUUUGACACAAUAUGUAUUGUUAAAAGCGCUAUAUAAAUAAAGGUGACUUGACUUGACUCCUCUCCA